rnacentral:lncRNA from 1 species
CGGACGCUUAAAGGGGCGAUGCCGCUACCGAAGAGUUUGCGUGGGGCCCGCCGGGCGGCGCUAGCAGCCUCGUCUCCUGAGGGGACGUUUCUAUUUGGGCCGCCUCUGUGCGAGCUGCCUAGCCUAAGGACACCGAGUUUUCCUUAGAAGUGAUAAUCUCCACAGCAACCGCGGGAUACACCCCUCUGUAGAGAAAGAAGACCAACAAGAUCCUCCUUCUGCACUUGGGAGCUGGAGGAUGUGCUCAUGUUUUGUAAAGAUGAAUAAGGAAGAGCUACAGUAGCAGGCAUGGUGUUCCCUGCUUGUAAUCCCAGCAACCUGGAGCUUGAGGAGGAAGGCUUGAGAGUCCAGAGCAUCCUGGGCUACAUCUGUCUCAAGUAAAAACAAAGUGGGAAGGGGUGGGGGAAUGCAGUCUGUGGAAAUGUGUGUUUGAACCAUCACUUAGUCCUCAGAAGCAAUAAGAAUACGUCUUUGUGCAAAUUAUUUAACCUCUGGGUGUCCAGUAACUUGGAAAUAGGAGUGGUUCUUACUCUAGUAGGGCUAUUAGACAAACAGAUUAACAUGGUCAGCAUGUAAAACAUUG